rnacentral:rRNA from 1 species
AUUGAACGCUGGCGGCAUGCCUUACACAUGCAAGUCGAACGGCAGCGGACCUUCGGGUGCCGGCGAGUGGCGAACGGGUGAGUAAUAUAUCGGAACGUACCUUUCAGUGGGGGAUAACGUAGCGAAAGUUACGCUAAUACCGCAUACUCUGUGAGCAGGAAAGCAGGGGAUCGCAAGACCUUGCGCUGAUUGAGCGGCCGAUAUCAGAUUAGCUAGUUGGUGAGGUAAAGGCUCACCAAGGCGACGAUCUGUAGCGGGUCUGAGAGGAUGAUCCGCCACACUGGAACUGAGACACGGUCCAGACUCCUACGGGAGGCAGCAGUGGGGAAUUUUGGACAAUGGGCGCAAGCCUGAUCCAGCCAUGCCGCGUGAGUGAAGAAGGCCU